rnacentral:lncRNA from 10 species
CUUGAAUCAGGGAGGUGGAGAUUGCAGAGAGCUGAGAUCAUGCCAUUGCACUCCAGCAUGGGUGACAGAGCGAAACUCCAUAAAAAAAAAAAAUGUAAGGGCUUGAAAAUAGUUUAUCAUCAUCAUUAAUUUAUUUCUGUAAACUCUUCCCCUUUCCUCUUUCCUCUUAGCAUAAUUGAACUUCCACAUGGAGGUCUGUUCUACUCCUGAUUCGAGUUUUGUAAAUAAUCUUUGUGGUAUUCUUUUGUGCCAAUGACAGCAGUUUAUUCUUCAGUUGAUCUUUUUGCCUCUUCUUCUUUUCCCCCAGCCAGCUUUCAAUGGUUAUAGAGCUUUAGCCUUCUGUGAAGAUAGAAAAAGCAUUCAUAUACUUUCCUUUGCAGAUCUAUCAUCUCCUUUCCAUUAAAGCAAUCCCUUGAUAUACCACAUACUCGAGUCUUAGUCAUUUCUUUCAAUAUGCAAUGCUGACUUGUUGGCAUAAUUUCAUCUCACUUACACAUUUUCAAACACAUUCUUCUCAACCUGAAGUCUGAGUAAGCUGGUAGCAAUGAAGACAAAAACAGUAUUCACCUUCAAUCACCAUAGUGUCCCAGCCCCUAGCUCAGUGCCAGCCAAAUAAUAAGAACCCACAAAUAUUUGGGUAAUGAAUGAGUAAAUGGGCUGUGUGUUGACAAGAGAGUAGCUGAAACGCUAAACUCAUUUGUUUUUUAGUGACAGUUACUAAGUGGGGAGAAUUCCAGGGGGAAUAAUGAUGGAGGACAGUGUGGAGUCUAAAGCCAAUGUGUGUGUGUGUGUGUGUGCGUGUUUGCGUGCAUGUGUGUGUGAGAGAGAGAGAGAGAUGUUCAGAGAUUAGCAGGAAGUACAGUUCAGAAUCAAAUAGCUUAAAGGAAAAGGAGGGAUUGGGACAUCACCCAUGGUAAAGGGUUCUGAGAAGCUACCCUAUUGAUUCAUAGAGGGUGUUCAGAGUCCCGUGUUUUAGUGACCCCAGUUCCACCUAGACCCAGCUCCAGGCAUAAUAUGUUUGACAAAAUGGCAGGACAGUGAAAGGGUCAUUAAAGUACUUUAUUUGUAUCAUGAAAAGAUUGACUUAUAAAUCUUCAUUAAAUAUUUGCCUUCCUAGCCAGACAUAAGCUCCAUAAAGACAGGCGCUGGCCCUCAGGGAGCAAGUGAACUGGCAUGGUGCCUGGCGCCCAGCAGUUCCUUCAUGAAGAUUUCAGAAUGACCAAGUGAGUUGAAUGCACAGCCCAGGCAUCUGUGUUUUCACACCUCUCCAGGGUCUGUUCCAUUAUUCACGUAGAAAAACCUGUUAACUAUUGUGAAGCAGCCUUGUAUCUGUAGCUGCCACACACUUCUCAAUGACCUUCCCUUUCCAAGUUGAGUUUUGCACCAUGUCAACAAGUGGCAGCUUUCUAGCAUCAAAUUGUUUGUCCAGGGUUAUCAGCAUUACUUUCUUUUCUUGUCCUCACUACAAUACACAUGCCCAUCUCAAAUCAGUUCCAUUGUUACUUAGGUAAUAGUAUUGUAGGGUGUCUUUACUUCAGAAAGAAUGAUAUAUUUAGCAAAUGUUACAGAUAUAGGAGGUUUUAAGUGGGACUAAAUGCAGCAAUUAAUGCUAAUGAGUCUGCUGUUAGCAUGUAAUAUUCUUGGUGUUAUAAUCAUGCAUCACUGAAUGCGAAGCCUCAGUUUGUGCAACAGAUGCCGAUCUUAAUGGCUAUAUUCUCUUCCCAUGGAUAAGCUAGCUUUAGUUAAAUGAAUCAUUAAGAAUAACCAUUUAAAAUGUUAAUGAAAACAGUGAUUAUAACCACCAAGAUUUUUUUUUUAACUUCUGGCUCUAUUACUUUUUAUUUUCGAAAGGACUUUGGGAAGGUAAGAAACUUAUUGCCUGUGUAUGUUGUUUUAAACAGAGAAGGCCGAUACAGUUUCUGUUCACAGCAGCCCUGAGGCCGCAUGCCUGUAUUAUUAACACCAACCGUACUUGGAGACUAACUCUCUUUUGUUCUCAUUUGUCAUUUCUUUUAAAUAUUCAUUUAGGGUAUAAGACAGAAUUGGGUAAGUAGGAUCCUUGACAGUCCAACUAGUUGGUAAACAAAUAUUUUGUCUUCCUGAAAGUAUCAUUAUACUAUCGCAAAUUAAGACUGAAAAGGAAAAAAAUACCAGGAUGUUGAUAUUUAAGAAUAAAUACUUUAUCUUUUCAGAACAACAAUAAGAAGGCUGGUUUAGGCUUUAUCGCUGGAAAAUGGAGUUUGUGAAACAAAGAAGUAAUAGAUGCAUAGCAAGAGCUCAGUGUCCUUCCACAUUGUGUCACCGGUUGUACCCUGAGACAGAUUCUCCAAGUCUUAGAACAUGGAUAUGCAGUGAGAGUGAGGUUUACGUAGAAAAGUCUUUGUGUCUUGGGAGUGCCAUGUGUAUUGAAUGUCUAUGACUCAUGUCUCCCCUUGACUCACUUCUUGGCUGGGCUACAUGACUCAUCAGGCCUGGUAGGUUCAGGGCAGUGUAGCUGGUGGGGAAGGGCUAAGUGAAGAGGGGCUGUCUAGACCUGGGGAGCAUGGUUAUAAUGAGCUUUUUCAAACGUACAACUCAACUCUCUUGCACCUAGGAAGUAUCUUCAUCCAGAAGGAGUUCUCAGUCCUUUUUCUGGUCCUGCAGAGCAAAAGAGGAGAGAGAAAAAGAGAAUGAGUUACAUGGGCCCACUGUAUGUUAUAGCUGACUGCUGAUGGUAUCAGAGAUUUUAACACUGCAGUCAACUGCAGACAAAGCCGCAAUCUUGUGACUUCACAGAGCCUCAUGGGCUUUUGAGUUGACCAACUUGAGAAAAAUUUCUGACUUGAUGCAUGAAAUGAAACGAAGGCAGGUGACACAUAAAGGAAAUGACAAGACACGAUUGAAAACUAUUGACCCUCAAGUUAUCACAAAUGGUUAUGAAAUGGAAAUGGAAUGGGAAGGAGUAUGAAAAAAUAAGCUGAAUACUGACAAACCUAAGGUACCCCAAAGUCUAUGGAAACUCCAAUUUAACGAGGGGAUGAAUAAGAAAUUUACUUCUCAACAAACAACAAAUAAUGGUUUAUAACCAUGGAAGCAUUCUGAGAGAAGUAAAUAUGUCAUCGAUUUUAAAUAGCAGUGUUAUCCAGCAGAGAGCAGAUCAAUGAAAGUUGCAUAGGUUUUCACAUGCUUCAGGAUAUUAAAGAACAAUCCCAUUUCCCCCCUCUAUAAACCAUUCCAUCCAGAAGAGUAAUUUUAAAUGUGCUAUAAAUCAUUAUCUGUUCAACAACCAAUCUGCAUUCAGAAAAGUUAUAUCCAUUCCUAUUCUUCUUCCUUGGAACAAUUUAAAAUGCUCUCAUUUUUUGCUAACCUGUAGGCCUGCUUUGGGUCUUCUGACUGGAUAUGUGGUAAAAAAAAAAUAAGUUAUUUCUCAAAUUUAAUAUAACAAAUACUAGGAGAGAAAACUGAUGUAUUUUCUUUAGAAAAAGUACUCAAUGAUUAUCAGUUGGGCAAUGUUUAUUACAGCCUUGUAAAUGGGUCGAUAAGAUUUAUUGCUGUUUCAAAGAUAGAGUGAACAAUAUCUAGAUAAUUACAAAGAUUUGC